CGGAGCGGGCCCGGCCCGAGCCCAGCGCCGCCCCGGCACCGGGCCCGCGUCACUUCCUGAGCUGCCGGGCCGGGACUGUCGGGGUUCGGCUGCGCUCCGGGGCAGUCCCGCCGGGCUCUACAGCUCCAGGGCCGAGGGCGGCUCCCGGACCCUCAUCCCGUGAUACGGGUGACGCUGUUGACGGGACUCGGCCUUCUUUUUCCUGAUUCUGGUCACAGCCUUCUCUCAGGCAUCCACCUGCUCCGGCGUGGGGCUCCUCCACGGGCUGCAGGUGACUUAAAAAUGACACAUCAUGCGACACAAGCAGGUGUCAGAGAAACACCAGACUAAAGGAGCUAUCUAUUGCUGUGCAAGCUUUAGUCAAGCAGCAGUAGGAGAAGACAACAAGAGAAAACUGUGAAGUGUCCUGGGUGUGGCAGAAAGAAGAAUGCCAUUAACUCAUAAGGCAAAUACAAAUUUUAUUACUUAAUAUUGUGAAGUGCUGUUACUGUGUUAUACCUCUGUUUAAAUUAGUCUUAGUCCAGUUUUUCUUUUUCCACCAGUU
rnacentral:lncRNA from 13 species